GACGAACGCUGGCGGCGUGCUUAACACAUGCAAGUCGAACGGAAAGGCCCUGCUUGCCGGGUACUCGAGUGGCGAACGGGUGAGUAGCACGUGGGUGAUCUGCCCUGCACUUCGGGAUAAGCCUGGGAAACUGGGUCUAAUACCGGAUAGGAGCCAUUUUUUGUUUGAUGGUUGGAAAGUUUUUUCGGUGUAGGAUGAGCUCGCGGCCUAUCAGCUUGUUGGUGGGGUAAUGGCCUACCAAGGCGGCGACGGGUAGCCGGCCUGAGAGGGUGGACGGCGACAUUGGGACUGAGAUACGGCCCAGACUCCUACGGGAGGCAGCAGUGGGGAAUAUUGCACAAUGGGCGCAAGCCUGAUGCAGCGACGCCGCGUGGGGGAUGACGGCCUUCGGGUUGUAAACUCCUUUCGCUAGGGACGAAGCUUUUUGUGACGGUACCUAGAGAAGAAGCAACGGCUAACUACGUG
rnacentral:rRNA from 1 species